rnacentral:rRNA from 1 species
GCUUACGACCACACCGGCCUGAGUACGCCUGAUCUCGUCUGAUCUCGGAAGCUAAGCAGGGUCGGGCCUGGUUAGUACUUGGAUGGGAGAACGCCUGGGAAAACCAGGUGCUGUAAGCU